rnacentral:rRNA from 1 species
GUGAACGCUGGCGGUAGGCCUAACACAUGCAAGUCGAACGGCAGCACAGUAAGAGCUUGCUCUUACGGGUGGCGAGUGGCGGACGGGUGAGGAAUACAUCGGAAUCUACUUUUUCGUGGGGGAUAACGUAGGGAAACUUACGCUAAUACCGCAUACGACCUACGGGUGAAAGCAGGGGAUCUUCGGACCUUGCGCGAUUGAAUGAACCGAUGUCGGAUUAGCUAGUUGGCGGGGUAAAGGCCCACCAAGGCGACGAUCCGUAGCUGGUCUGAGAGGAUGAUCAGCCACACUGGAACUGAGACACGGUCCAGACUCCUACGGGAGGCAGCAGUGGGGAAUAUUGGACAAUGGGCGCAAGCCUGAUCCAGCCAUACCGCGUGGGUGAAGAAGGCCUUCGGGUUGUAAAGCCCUUUUGUUGGGAAAGAAAAGCAGCAGGUUAAUACCCCGCUGUUCUGACGGUACCCAAAGAAUAAGCACCGGCUAACUUCGUG